GGAUUAGAUACCCUAUUAUUCUAAAUGUAAAUUUUAAAGUUCAGGGUAGUGUUGGUUAUGAUCCUUAAACCUAAAGAAUUUGGCGGUGUUUUAGUCUCUUUAGAGGAACUUGUCCCGUAAUUGAUAAUCCUCGUUGGACCUUACUUGAUUUAUGUUUAUAUAUCUCCGUUUUUGAAUAUUUUUAUAGGGUUGUUGGAAUUUUCUUUAUUUUUUAUUGAAUAUAAUUUCAGGUCAAGGUUUAAUUUAUAAUCAAGUGGAGAUGAGUUACAAUAAUAUUUAUUAUAACGGAUUAUAGGAUUGAAAAAUUUUCAUGUAAGGUGGAUUUAAUAGUAAUUUGAUUUAGAAUAUUUAGGUGAUUUAAGGGCUCUAAGAUAUGUACAUAUCGCCCGUCGCUCUCGUUAUUUAAGAUGAGAUAAGUC
rnacentral:rRNA from 1 species